GUGUCAGCCGCCGCGGUAAUACGGAGGGUGCAAGCGUUGUUCGGAAUCACUGGGCGUAAAGGGCGUGUAGGUGGCUAAUUAAGUCAGGUGUGAAAUCCUUCCGCUUAACGGGAGAAGUGCACUUGAAACUGCUUAGCUAGAGUACGGGAGAGGAAGGUGGAAUUCCUGGUGUAGAGGUGAAAUUCAUAGAUAUCGGGAAGAACACCGGUGGCGAAGGCGGCCUUCUGGCCCGAUACUGACGCUGAGACGCGAAAGCGUGGGGAGCAAACAGGAUUAGAAACCCCAGUAGUCC
rnacentral:rRNA from 1 species